CAUUACCGAGUUUACAACUCCCAAACCCCUGUGAACAUACCUUUAUGUUGCCUCGGCGGAUCAGCCCGCGCCCCGUAAAACGGGACGGCCCGCCGCAGGAACCACAAAACUCUGAUUUUAGUGUAACUUCUGAGUCUAAAAAACAAAUAAAUCAAAACUUUCAACAACGGAUCUCUUGGUUCUGGCAUCGAUGAAGAACGCAGCAAAAUGCGAUAAGUAAUGUGAAUUGCAGAAUUCAGUGAAUCAUCGAAUCUUUGAACGCACAUUGCGCCCGCCAGUAUUCUGGCGGGCAUGCCUGUUCGAGCGUCAUUUCAACCCUCAAGCCCCCGGGUUUGGUGUUGGGGAUCGGGCUGUACUCCAGCCCGGCCCCGAAAUCUAGUGGCGGUCUCGCUGCAGCCUCCAUUGCGUAGUAGCUAACACCUCGCAACUGGAACGCGGCGCGGCCAAGCCGUUAAACCCCCAACUUCUGAAUGUUGACCUCGGAUCAGGUAGGAAUACCCGCUGA
rnacentral:sRNA from 1 species